rnacentral:tRNA from 1 species
AGAAUUAUAGCUUAUAUUUAGAGCAGUUAGCUGUUAACUAAUUAGGAAUAAAAAUAUUUAUUGGUUCUG